UACGGGGGGGGCAAGCGUUGUUCGGAAUUACUGGGCGUAAAGGGCUCGUAGGCGGCCAACUAAGUCGGAUGUGAAAUCCCCAGGCUUAACCUGGGAACUGCAUCCGAUACUGGAUGGCUUGAAUCCGGGAGAGGGAUGCAGAAUUCCAGGUGUAGCGGUGAAAUGCGUAGAUAUCUGGAGAAAUACCGGUGGCGAAGGCGGCAUCCUGGACCGGCAUUGACGCUGAUGAGCGAAAGCUAGGGGAGCAAACGGG
rnacentral:rRNA from 1 species